GACCGAAGAGGAAUCGGAUCCCUGAUCUUGAGAGAUAACUUAAGGAAAAAUAGAAUCGACCAACUGAAAAAGGAAGCCUUUACAUGUCAAAGGUAAUGCACUCUGAGCUUUCUUCACCACUAAGAAAGCUCUAGGCUUGUAGAGUGGAUGGCCAUUCAACAUAUAUAGAUUUUGACACUAGGAGGAAGGAAGCAUCACUGAAUAACUCCCUUUCACACAAUCCCUUUUAGAAAUCAUAGUAGUAUAUGUCCAUAUAUAAGGUUAAGUUCAUCUAUAUCUAUGCAUACAACUUAGCUCACGCCAGAAUCGAAGCACAAAAAACCACAUAACUGCCUGCUGCUUCUCCGCCACUUCCUUGAUGGACUCAGUAGCUCAAGGAACCCAACCUCCACCAGGGUACCCAAGUGAUCCGGGGGCACCGAAGAACAGGACAGGCAAUCCCCGUAUCAAGAAGAAAGGCGACAGAGGGUUCAUUGAAGGAUGUCUUGCUGCACUUUGUUGUUGUUGGAUAUGUGAAACCUGCUUCUGAUGAAGAGUGGAGACAAAUCAGACGAGACACAAACUAUAAGAGCAUUACAAACGGAUAAUAGGAGUAUCACAUCGUGCUUUUCAAUGGAUUGUAAUCUUAUGUUGAUGUAAUAAUCAAGCCAAGGACUUGCAUAUAUUUGCUCCAUUUGAGAGUUUGGUUUGUAACUCUUUUUUCUAGUGUAUCAUCCAGUAUUAGAAACUACCUGUCUAUCUUUCUCCUA